rnacentral:rRNA from 1 species
AUUGAACGCUGGCGGCAGGCCUAACACAUGCAAGUCGAGCGGUAGCACAGAGGAGCUUGCUCCUUGGGUGACGAGUGGCGGACGGGUGAGUAAUGUCUGGGAAACUGCCCGAUGGAGGGGGAUAACUACUGGAAACGGUAGCUAAUACCGCAUAACGUCUUCGGACCAAAGUGGGGGACCUUCGGGCCUCACACCAUCGGAUGUGCCCAGAUGGGAUUAGCUAGUAGGUGGGGUAAUGGCUCACCUAGGCGACGAUCCCUAGCUGGUCUGAGAGGAUGACCAGCCACACUGGAACUGAGACACGGUCCAGACUCCUACGGGAGGCAGCAGUGGGGAAUAUUGCACAAUGGGCGCAAGCCUGAUGCAGCCAUGCCGCGUGUAUGAAGAAGGCCUUCGGGUUGUAAAGUACUUUCAGCGGGGAGGAAGGCGAUGUGGUUAAUAACCGCAUCGAUUGACGUUGCCCGCAGAAGAAGCACCGGCUAACUCCGUGCCAGCCGCCGCAGUAA